GUGCUCACUUUGCAGCACAUAUACUGAAAUUGGAAGUAUACAGAGAUGAGCAUGGCCCCUGAAGAAGGAUGACAUGCAAAUUCAUGAAGCGUUCUGUAUUUUA
rfam:Myotis davidii contig75827, whole genome shotgun sequence.